GAUGAACGCUGGCGGCGUGCCUAAUACAUGCAAGUCGAGCGAAUGGAUUAAGAGCUUGCUCUUAUGAAGUUAGCGGCGGACGGGUGAGUAACACGUGGGUAACCUGCCCAUAAGACUGGGAUAACUCCGGGAAACCGGGGCUAAUACCGGAUAACAUUUUGAACCGCAUGGUUCGAAAUUGAAAGGCGGCUUCGGCUGUCACUUAUGGAUGGACCCGCGUCGCAUUAGCUAGUUGGUGAGGUAACGGCUCACCAAGGCAACGAUGCGUAGCCGACCUGAGAGGGUGAUCGGCCACACUGGGACUGAGACACGGCCCAGACUCCGACGGGAGGCAGCAGUGGGGAAGAUUGCACAAUGGGCGCAAGCCUGAUGCAGCAACGCCGCGUGAGGGAUGACGGCCUUCGGGUUGUAAAACUCUGUUGUUAGGGAAGAACAAGUGCUAGUUGAAUAAGCUGGCACCUUGACGGUACCUAACCAGAAAGCCACGGCUAACUACGUGCCAGCAGCCGCCGUAA
rnacentral:rRNA from 1 species